rnacentral:lncRNA from 1 species
AUAAAAUUAAGGAAGAGUAAAAUGUGCCUCCCACAUGCACAUGUGAGGGACAGGAUUUUUCCAUGUGUAUCAAGUUCAUCCAAGAACUACAAUGAAAGGAAUGUAACUUCCUGUUAAUAAGGCCAGAAACUUUUGACAGGGAGCCUUUAUAAAUAAUCCAGUGCAGAGACUCCUACCUUCAGUUUGCGUGGGUACAUCUGUGUACCAAGAGGGCGCAUAACAAUGAGGAGACAUUUCUUCUCAGAAAGAGUGAUCAGGCAUUGGAAUAGGUUGCCCAAGGAAGUGGUGGAGUCACCGUCCCUGGGGGCGUUCAAAGGAAAGGUUGGACCUGGUGCUUAGGAACGUGGUUUAGUGGGUGACAUUGGCAGUGGGGUGAUGGUUGGACCAGAUCAUAUUGAAGGUCUUUUCCAACCUUAAUUUUUCUAUGAUUCUAUGCAGAAGGAAGAGGAUUCCUGGCCUGUCCUCACCCCAGGCUAGGGGCCCAGCCAGCGUAGGGUCUCCCACCUGGCCAGCAGCAAGGCCUGUGUGGAGGUGGUUGCCAUCUUGGCCCAGCCCAUGCCUAUAAGCAAUCAGCCACAGUCCAGGCAGCUGAUUGCUUACCAAUCAACCACCAGGUGCAGGUCUCAGGUCUCAGACCCUGAUCUAGAACCUUCUUUGCACACCCUUUCAGAGGAACUUGGGUACUGUUAGUGGUGGACGUGCCCCAGCUGUAGUGAAAGCUACUUCCACAGCUGAAGUGGUCACUGAAAUGGCAGAAAAGCAACCUGAGAGAAGGCUGUCUGGUGUUUGCUCUGUUUUAAGUGGGAAAAAGUGGAUUGAUCUCCAGAGGAAACAUGAAGAACCAAACAUCCAAUUGCAUGUUUGCAGGGGCCCAGCAAAGUCCAAAAUCAUAGAGAACUGGAAAAAUGUGUAUAAUGAUUGGAGCUACCCUGCUAGGACGGUGGUUAUCCUGGGAAGGACUGGGACUCAAACACCAGUUUGGCUUUGUGAGGAGCACUGCUUGUUGAGCGUGGGGUCUUUGGCAGUCAUCUUUGUGGGAGACAACAAAAAUUGCCUAGAAGAAAAUAUGAUGAAGUGCUAUUUUCAAACACCUCAGUGACUCCGCAGAAGCCAUUAGUGGCUAUGAUUUCUCUUAUAUUAUUUUACUGCAUUUUUCCGUUUCAACAAAAAUGUACAAUGCCUGUCUGCAUGGGGUGAACUGCAGAUGUAGUGGAGAGGAGGAAAAGUUCAUUUCAAACAUGAAUGUUGAAAAACUUCAUGCAGU